rnacentral:SRP_RNA from 1 species
ACCGGGGAGAUAGCGGGCUACAGCAGGGGUGAUGAUGUGCCGAGGGGCGUCCGAUUCGGAGCCGCCCGUAGUAAGUGAUGUUGAAGUUUGGGUCUCGCGCAAUGGGAAUUUGCGAACCGUGUCAGGGCAGGAAUGCAGCAGCACUAAACAAACCCUCUCAUGUGCCGUGAGGAAGCCUGGAUUGAGUUAACUGCUAUGGUAACGUUC